rnacentral:misc_RNA from 1 species
GUGCAUUCUGGGGUCAUUUUGGCUAUUAGUGGCUUGCUUGGCAAUUGGGCUUUGUGGGUUGCUACUAGUUUGGGUGUCUUCGGGGAUGUCUACCGUAAAGGUGCAUGAGUGGUGUUUGGUUUGUUACGGGUGGUUGGCUCUUUGCUUGCGCAACAACUUCCACCUGGCAUACCUCUUCAGUCUUGUGUCAAUGUUUGUUUUGCAUUGAAUGCACGACGGGUUUCUUGUGUUGCAUGCCUAAUUAAUGGUAUCGUUUGAUGAAUUGGUUUCCCUUUUCGUCUUGCGUCGCCUAUGCGAUGUGAGAUGAACCAUGAAGCAGCCUUUGUGAUCCACACUUUUGAUGCAUAUGCAUUGAUUUUGUGGCCCAUUAAGUGUUGCUCGGUCUCAUGGAUAUGGAACCUGGUGUGGGCAUGGAAUCGUAAUGGUUCCUUGUUUGCCCAAGUUUAGCUUUUAUAAAACGAUUUGUCUAUCAUGUGUUAGCGUGGUAGACUAUGUCGAAUAUGAAUGCUACCUGGUUGAUCCUGCCAGUAGUCAUAUGCUUGUCUCAAAGAUUAAGCCAU